rnacentral:rRNA from 1 species
UACAGACGGUCCAAACGUUAUUCGGAAUUACUGGGCUUAAAGAGUUCGUAGGCGGUCCAGAAAGUGGGGUGUGAAAGCCCUCGGCUCAACCAAGGAAGUGCAUCCAAAACUGCUGAGCUUGAGUACUAAAGAGGAUCGCGGAAUUCCCGGUGUAGAGGUGAAAUUCGUAGAUAUCGUGAGGAAGACCAGUUGCGAAGGCGGAUCUCUGGGCAGUUCCUGACACUGAGGCACGAAGGCCAGGGGAGCAAACGGG